CGCCUCCUGCAUAAUAACUCAACGUAUAGGAGGUCCUGCCUGCCCAGUGACAACUAGUUAAACGGCCGCGGUAUUUUGACCGUGCUAAGGUAGCGCAAUCACUUGUCUUUUAAAUGAGGACCUGUAUGAAUGGCGGAACGAGGGCUUAACUGUCUCCUUUUCCUAGUCAAUGAAAUUGAUCUACCCGUGCAGAAGCGGGUAUACUAAUACAAGACGAGAAGACCCUUUGGAGCUUAAGAUAAAAGGCCAACUAUGUCAAAGGCCCAAAUAAAACUAAGCCAAACAAAACAGCCAACUGGCCAAUAUCUUCGGUUGGGGCGACCGCGGGGGAAAACAAAGCCCCCACGUGGAACGGGGAAUAUACCCUAAAACCAAGAGAGACAUCUCUAAGUCACAGAACAUCUGACCAAAAGAUCCGGCCAACCAAGCCGAUCAACGGACCAAGUUACCCUAGGGAUAACAGCGCAAUCCCCUCCAAGAGUUCAUAUCGACAAGGGGGUUUACGACCUCGAUGUUGGAUCAGGACAUCCUAAUGGUGCAGCCGCUAUUAAGGGUUCGUUUGUUCAACGAUUAAAGUCCU
rnacentral:rRNA from 1 species